AACGCGAAGAACCUUACCCAGACUUGACAUACAGUGGAAUUUUGCAGAAAUGUAAAAGCCCUUCGGGGCCGCUGAACAGGUGCUGCAUGGCUGUCGUCAGCUCGUGCCGUGAGGUGUUGGGUUAAGUCCCGCAACGAGCGCAACCCUUAUCGUUAGUUGCCAACAGGUAAUGCUGGGAACUCUAGCGAGACUGCCUGGGUUAACCAGGAGGAAGGUGAGGAUGACGUCAAGUCCGCAUGGCCCUUAUGUCUGGGGCUACACACGUGCUACAAUGGUCGAUACAGAAGGCAGCGAAACCGCGAGGUGAAGCAAAUCCCUAAAGUCGGCCCCAGUUCAGAUUGUAGUCUGCAACUCGACUACAUGAAGAUGGAAUUGCUAGUAAUGGCGAGUCAGCAACAUCGCCGUGAAUACGUUCCCGGGUCUUGUACACACCG
rnacentral:rRNA from 1 species